GAACCCCUGUUAAGGAAAAUUAACAAAGUGUGGUUAUUAAAGAAGAACUGAGUUGGGAGUCAGACCUGGAGGCCCGCACCCGUGGUUAAGACAUUAUACCACCUUGAGUCUGGCCUGUUGACUGAGGAUACAACAGAGAAAUGCAUAAUGUCCAGUCAAUUUAUUAAAGUUCCAAAGUCGGUCGCGCGCAGUGGCUCACGCCUGUAAUCUCAACACUUCGGGAGGCCGAGGCGUGUGGAUCACGAGAUUUCAAUAUGAUUAAAGCAGGAGUGAGGACACAGCGAAAGUGAGACAAGGAAAAGAGAACAAAAUAAAACAGGAAAGACAGAAAAGCCAAUACCACACGUGUUAAGAGUAACAAGCUCCCGUGCUGCUAGAGAAAGUCCUCAGCUAGAAACUGGUGCAAAUUCUGGAGAUGAGACCUUGUAGAGUGUUAAGAAUGGUUUUCUUCCCAGCAGCUACAGCUAAGGAAUAGGGGCUGGGCUAUGAAUACAUCUGCUACAAACCAAUAAAGCCCUUAUGCUCCUUUUGGUGAUCGACAAUGUAUUUAAAAAUAUUAGAUGAUCAAGAAGGGCUGCAGAAAGGAGGAAACAGAAACAAA
rnacentral:lncRNA from 1 species